rnacentral:rRNA from 1 species
GGCUUGGUCGGGCGGUCCGCCUCACGGUGUGUACUGUCUGACUGAGUCUUACCUCUUGGUGAGCCGGCGUGCGCUUUAUUGUGUGCGUCGGGGAACCAGGACUUUUACCUUGAGAAAAUUAGAGUGUUCAAAGCAGGCCUAUGCCUGAAUACAUUAGCAUGGAAUAAUAAAAUAGGACGUGCGGUUCUAUUUUGUUGGUUUCUAGAGUCGCCGUA